rnacentral:rRNA from 1 species
UACGUAGGGUGCAAGCGUUACUCGGAAUCAUUGGGCGUAAAGCGCAUGUAGGCGGCUUUGUAAGUCUGAUGUGAAAUCCCUGGACUCAAUCCAGGAAGUGCAUUGGAUACUGCAUGGCUAGAGUAUAGGAGAGGUGGACGGAAUUCCUGGUGUAGAGGUGAAAUUCGUAGAUAUCAGGAGGAACAACAGAGGCGAAGGCGGUUCACUGGACUAUAACUGACGCUGAGAUGCGAAAGUGUGGGGAGCAAACAGG